rnacentral:misc_RNA from 1 species
GUUGAAUAUUUACUAAUGAAGAAAUUCGGACGCAGCAUGAUGACCGGGAACAUUCUGUUGCUUCUGGGCGUUUUGCAGACCCUUCCGAUUUCUCAAGCACUGUAUGAGGAUCAAAUAGGGAAAUUUGACUGGCAUCAACAGUAUGUUGGGAAGAUUACAGAUAUGUUCUGGGACCAGUCUUUCAAUGCUGGAAAACGAGUCCUGGUGUCAUCAGAGAGGCAUGUUCUGGCUUCGGUCCACUCCCAUAAUGGCUCCCUUGCUUGGAGAAAAGUGCUUGAGGAUGGGCCCCGAGGGCGGAUUGACAAAACCCUCCACUCAGGAAACUUGUUGGUGACGCUGACGGGGGGUGGCCGUUUUGUGAGGAAAUGGAAUGCUGGGAGUGGACUGGCUGACUGGGAAGUGUCUCUCCCUGGAUCCAAGAGUGGACGGCAAUGGUUUCCUGUUCUCGUUUAACCCAAUCAGCGGUGAGCCAGUGGAUACGCCCCCCACUGGUCAGGUAUUGAACUACAGGAUCACCCAGACCAGCAUGCUGGGGGAACUAGAUGACCACUUCUUGAGGGGCAUUCUUCUGAUGGACCCCGACAAUCAGAUACAUGUGUUCCCUGGGAAAUGUUUGUCAGUUCUGAAGAAGACCUUUGGGUCACAGUACAUGUUUGUGGCAGACAGAGAGACUGGCUUUAUUAAGGGCUACAGGACAGUCCCAAACCAGGGGAAAUUUUUGAUGGAGAAUGUGUGGACAGUGAACCUUCAGAAGAAGCAGCAAACCAUUACCCAGGUUGUGGGCAAGAGACCGCUAGAACAAGUUCACUCUCAAGGUCGUGUCUUAGGAGACAGAAGUGUACUGUAUAGAUACCUCAAUCCUAAUCUUGUUGUCGUGGUAACAGAGGGAGAAUUCAUUGAGCAGUCUCAAAGAGGUGGCGUGUUUAACACCAUCAACCUUUACCUGCUGGACAGUGUGACCGGUCACAUGGUGUUCCACUGCAGCCACAAGAGAGCAAAAGGUCCAAUCACCGUCGUUCACUCAGAAAACUGGGUUGUGUAUAACUAUUUCAAUCAAAAGUCACGCCGCCUUGAGAUGGCUGUCUUAGAACUUUAUGAAGGAAAAGAGCAGAGUAAUUCUACUGCCUUCUCUUCCUUCUCAUCACCACGGCAACCACUGGUCCUCCGCCAGUCCUACAUAAUGCCACUGUUUAUCUCUACCAUGGCAACCACAGUCACAGAGAAGGGCAUCACCAGUAAACAGAUCAUAUUUGCUUUGAAGCUAGGGGGUUUGCUUGCUCUCCCUAAAGCCUUACUUGACCCCCGACGACCUCUUGUUCCUACCCAGGAGACUAUGGAGGAGGGGACAAUACCUUACAUCCCUGAGCUACCCGUGAAUGCGGAGGCCAUCAUCAACUACAACCAGAGUCUGUACAACGUGCAGGGGAUCCACACCUCACCGGCAGGGCUCGAGUCCACCUCUCUGGUCCUCUCUUAUGGGCUGGAUUUAUACUUCACCAGAGUGCAGCCAUCAAAGAUGUUUGAUGUUUUGAAAGAAGACUUUGAUUAUUUUUUUAUAUCAGCAGUGUUGCUAGGAAUGUUUGUAGUUACCAUAGCAACUCAGAAACUGUCCGCCAGACGAGCGCUCAGUCGGGCAUGGAAGUAAAGACGCAAUGACUAGUUCCUGAUGUGCAGGAAUACAGAUUCAAAAAAUGGAAAACAACAAAGCAACGUGUUCAGAUGUUGAAAAGUUUUAUCAUCUUGAUGAUGGUUAUUAAUUAGAUUCCCAAUUGAUUUCUUGAAUAAGAAUGAGAGUCAGAGGUUGAAAUCAUUCCAUGUGUGUGUGUGUGUGUGUGUGUGUGUGUGUGUUGUUUAGUGUAGAUCAGAUUUGUUCUAGGUGGUCAAUGUAUGGUAUGCUUCUUUCUGUCUUAUUGGAUAUUUUUUCAUCAAUAUUCAGAAUGAGAUUUACUGUGUCAUGUACAAUGGUAUGUAUGGACUUUGGUGUACAUUUACAUUUUAUACAUUGUAUAUAAAAGAUCUCAAAGUGUAGAAGGACAAAAGGUAUAGCGCCCUGUAUACCUUACAUUACAACUCGAAUUGGUGCAUUUAGAGAUAAUGAAAUUUUUGCAUGUAUACAAUUUGAAAAGAACUGAAAUACAUGUAAAGCAAUUUGGCAUAAAAAUCAUAAUAUUUAAGAUGUUAAUAAAGUGAAUGAAAAUGAUUUUUUAUUAAGCCAUGAUUAUUCUCAAAGUUUGGAUGGGUACAUACAAGUUAUAACAAAUAUCAUAUUUUUCAAAAAUAAUUACUUCUUGUAUUUCCUUACACUUUCCUUUAACUGCUAUAUGUUUAUCUUUAAAAUCUUACAUUUUUAUGUGAAAAGUUAACUACUUGUUUAUCUAAAUACAUGUACAUUUCGAUGUAUUAUGAUGGUCAUGAAUUACAACCCAAUUUUUACAUUUUCUCCUUUUGUAUAUAUCUUACAUAAUUUAAAUAAAAGCCCAUCUUAAAACCUC